rnacentral:lncRNA from 1 species
UAUGGAGACAAUGUACAGAUAGAAAACUGCAGGAACCUUCUCUGCUGUACGCAGUAGAGACAAGAAUACGCAGUGGACACAGGAAUACGCAGUGGAGACAGGAAUACGCAGUGGAGACAAGAAUACGCAGUGGACACAGGAAUACGCAGUGGAGACAGGAAUACGCAGUGGACACAGGAAUACUGGAGACAGGAAUACGCAGUGGACACAGGAAUACGCAGUGGAGACAGGAAUACGCAGUGGAGACAGGAACACGCAGUGGAGACAGGAACACGCAGUGGAGACAGGAAUACGCUGUGGAGACAGGAAUACACUGGGUCGGUUUGGACGUUGGUGCUGGGGAUUGAAGCAAGCCUUGAACGCGACCAGACAGUGCUGUAACUGAACUGCUUCUUCCCUGGGGCAGUGUUUCUUUCAGUUCCGAGGUUCUGCUCACCUGGUUUCUAAUUUAUGCAGAUA